UUAAUAUCUUUAUUGAUGAUUUGGAUGAGGGAACUGAGUGCACCCUCAGUAAGUUUGCAGAUGACACCAAACUGGGGGGAAGUGUCGAUGUGCCAGAGGGUAGGAAGGCCCUGCAGAGGGACCUGGACAGGUUGAAUCAGAUGCAGUGAAAACUCAAUAACCAAAGUUAUUAAGCAGGUAUUCUUUAUUACAGCGCUGGGUGUGGGGGGGGAUCACUCUGCCUAGCACACACACCAAGGGUUACUGCCGGGGUGCUUAUAUUAAUGGCAUAUAUACAUAUUCAUCUCACUUCCCCAUAAGUCUCUUGCAUAUUCAUUAGGUAUCCAAAGAAUUAUUAACAUAGGUUCCCGUCCCUGUUCGCAUGCACGCUGGAGUCCUUGGGUGGUAGUCCAGCGUACUCUGGUGGUCUCUUGAAGGCCAGAAGUCUUCCUCGCUCCUAAACUUCUGACCCUUCCUUCCUUUUACAGACUUCAGCAGUCCAAGCCAGUUCUUUCUGGUUCUAUUAUGUGUGUGUAUGAAGUCUUUUCUUCCCUUAUCUUUUAGGGUCAUCCCGUCCUCGUACUCCAUGCCUCAGUCCUGUCCUUGUUGUUAAUAUACAGCAUACUCCCUCAGUUAGCUAAAAGCUGCAAAAUCGACAUGCUUUCCUUAUUCCCUCUCUCUGUCUGCUUCUAUUGCCCACAGACACACGGACCUUGCUUCUCUUGCUUUACACUAUUUACAAAGUCCAAGCUAAAGGUCAGAAACCAAAGACUUUCAGCAGAACUGUCCGCCACCAAGGCCAAGAACUGCUGGACAAUUCCUUCAGGGAGAAAGAAAAACCCAAGACAACUAAGGUGACACCAGCGGUGGGUUUGCACACACGUGCCAGGUGGUGUCCAAGCCUGGCAAGGAGGCAGAGGGAAGGCAGGAAAGGGCAAGCACAACUGUUCUAGGUUUAAAGGGAAUUACAGAAUAGAUACAAUCAACUGUUUCUUCCUGAAGGCAAAGAGGUCUUAGGUUUUGGCCCAAUGAUGUUACGGAGAGAAUGAUAACUUCUGAACAAAAAUGAAAAUGUUGGCUGAGGCACCCUUGCUGCUCAUCUGGUGAAAGAAUACAAGUAUGAAGGGUUGCCAGGAAACAUUCUUUGUCUGAAGAUGAGACAACUGGUGGUAGUCAUGGUUCAGCCCCCCCUUGCAAGUGCACUACUGUUCAUGGGGUCAUCCAAGGGAUGGCAGAGACAACUAGUGCCAGACGAAGCUUGCUUUCACCCUAGAAGAGAAGAUCUCACGGAGUUGGAGACAGCAAUUUCCAGUCCUAAGAAAUGGAUUCUAACCUGUAGAUCCUACCCACUCUCGAGGACUCUUCAAGUGCCCUGGUUCUGGCAGUGGGAAGAAGACCCUGUCCACACUAGUCCCCCUCAGUUGUACAGAGGGGGACCCCCAGACAAGUUCUCAUGUAGACAGUGCUUAUUCAGCUUCUCCCCUGAAAACUGGUUCUGAGCCUUGGGGGAAUCCCAGGGGUGAGUUGUCUAUACUGUUGUCCUUGGGUAUUAGUCUGGGCCCUGCUCAGGGCUCACCAAAUGUUAGCCACUUGUGGCUUCCACGGCAUUACGUGAUCCCCUUCCAGUCUCUGCAGCCCCUUUGCAGGGGAGCCUAGCACAACAUGGAGAGAAAAACUUUGUUGUCUCUGCUUGCUUACAGCUCUGCCUGCAGGCCACCCAUCUCGGCAGUACCAUUUUCUUAAGCAUCAAGGCUUUUCCAGGGGUAAGCAGCCCACCUUUAUUGGCUUUGCAGUGUCAGCAUUUAUUUUCAGUCUUGUUUUCAGGGGAAUGCACCUUCAUACAUUCUUCACUGAUGCUCAGAUAUGUGGAAGAGCAAAGUGGGAAUCAAGUGAAGCUUCUUUAUCUUGUGAAGCUGCAUUGCAAGCUGCUGAAGCCUUGAGCUUCUUCCAGCAUUGUCUGCAAAGACAGCAGCUUUUGGGGCUGAGUUUAGAGCCUGGGUGAACUCCUGGGGGUCCUUUUCCCCAGGAGCUGUGCACAUGGUGAGUUUUAUGCCAAUACAGUUCCUGUGCUGGCAUCUGGUACCACACUGCCACGUGCUCAUCAAUGGAAGGGGGGAAUGGGUGUCAGGCAGUAUUAGCGUUUCCUGCCAUUCAAAGCUGAAGGAGUUUAUUACAGUAUGUGACAGGAGCUGUUCUCGUGUGCCUUUGGUUGCAGAUGUGGCCACAGGUGCUGGCUCUGCAUCUCUUCAGUGGAAUCCUGAUUCUGAGUCUUGGAGAGGUCACCUGGGUACAUUGGCUCUAUAUAUUUCAUGAGGGAGCUGCCAGGCUGCACCCAGGAGGUCACCCCAACCACUCUGCAGGCAUUUCUUAGGAAGCAGUGUAUUGCAGCAUUUCACACUAGCUUUCUUCCUCCGUGUUUGCUUUCAGCUGUCCCCAUAAAGAAUGUUUCACUGAGUUUUAGGAUGGAUCCUGGUUUUGAGCAACAGGGACAUCCCAAGUUGCCGAUGCUUCUUUUGGAGUAAGAGUAAACAUUUAGAGAGAAGAGGGUGACAGGUGUUGGGGAGUAGUUAUGAGUUCAAACUGGGUUCGCUGCCAUUCCAAGCUGAAGAUGUUUCUUGCAGUAUCUUACAGACAAAGCUGUUCUUUUUUCUGCCUUUGUUUGCAGAUUUGGCCAGAAAUGCUGGCUCUGUGUCUUCUCUACAGAAUAGGGGUAUGGAGCAUGGGAGAAAUUGCAUGGGUAAGGCAUGCAUAUUCAUUCCCAGAGACACUGCUGGAGGUAGCCCUCAUUCAGCCUCUCCCUCAUGAGUAGGCUCUUGCUCAGGACAACUGUACCUGGUCAUCCUUGUCCUCUGACACUAACACACAAGAAUGAGGGAAAGCAACCAAGUGAAGAUAACUGCUUGGACUUGCCAAAGACACUAUGAGACUGUCAGUGGUACAGAACUCCUAAAAGUGUGUGACUGUCCCAUUUCCUCCAGGGGCUGGUGGUGAAAAAAGUGCAGAGGUUUCAGAUCACAAAUGGGGGCCAGAGCGCACCGCAGUUGUGGUACUGGCCAUCCUUGUGUGUCUGUUCCUUCUGGCAGCUUUGGGCUACUCAGUGAAACGGUUGCUGAAGACGAGACAACGGUGAGUAGGUUUUCCCAGCAGUCUUUGCUAGAUUGCUGCUCUGUGCAGGGAAGCAUUUCUAGCGAGAACAUCCUGGAGCACAGGGAGCUCUGGGCAGCUCUUUGCUGGGAUUUCUGCUGAGAGAUUUCUUUAAUGUUAACCUGUCGAUUUGUAUUAACGCGUUUUCUUUUUGAAAACCCUUCUGUUCUGUCGCAGAGAACCCUUGCUGGGUGAACCUUACUUUCCCUUGUGGAGUAAAGAUCCAGACAAUGUGGAAAAAGAAAGAAAAAUGGAGGAAAUUGCAAAAGAGAUUGAAAGUCUGCCUGAGGGACCACGCACAUUAUUAAGACCUCCACCGAAUGCCCUGCAUGAGAAUUAAAGAUGUGUUUGUGCAGACAAGACAUUACACUA